UGCAGGUCCGCAAGCGAGCUAGCACGAGGUACCUCUUCACGCCGCCUCCCUGCCCCUUCAUCUCGUGCCCAGUGUCCAAAGGCGCCUGGGAGAGACGGGGUCUCCCAGCACUGCUGAACUGCUUUACCUGGGGGCCCCGGAGCCGGGGGAAGGAUCCGGAUGCCACCUCUCCCAGUGGCCCAGCUCAGGAUCACUUCCAGAACGCUGAGGAAGAACUGGCCCUGACAGCCAUCAUUCCCAACGGUGACUGUGAGGAUCCCGGGAAGGCCAUGAGCGCUUGUGACGGAGCCCCCGGCCCCGUGGACCUCACCCGGGACGCGAGAUGAAGUGUGGCCCAAGCGCCCGGCCCUAACCUACAGCCCUAACCCGGCUCCUUCCCACUGAGCCCCCUACCCUGUGCCUCGAGUUGACCCUGGGGUGGUAGCGACGACAAGGUGGUGCGACAUUGACAGCUCAGACCUGGGAGGGUGAUUCGCCUGAGCCCGGCUCCAGCUCUCUGAUCACAGCAAGGUCACUGUCACGCCUCCUGGCUCUUCCGUGCCACUGACACAGUCAGCUGUCUGCUCUGGGGCUCUGCGCCACCCACCGUCCUGCCUGAGGAUCCAGCACACAAGUGCAGCUGGAGAGAACUCUGGAGCGGAAGACAUCGGACCUGGGGGUGUAGCCUUGGAUACAUCACUCAGCCCUUGGGGCUUCUGAUUCUCAAAUGCAAGAUGGUCCACCAGGCCAGUAGCUCUCAGCCAGGAGCUGGACUGCGUGCAAAACCAUCCAACAAGCACACCACUCACAGGGCCCCUUAGAGGAAUUCAGUGAGCCACUCCCUCCUCCCUGUCAGAUUCUAGAAGCGUCCCCCAGUGCGGAGAGGGCUGGGCUUCCCGGGCCUUGGCUCCCACAGCCAGCCAGCAUACAGGCUGCACUGCCUGCCUGGCCAGGACGGGCAUGGGCUCACACUCAGGCGAGGAGAGGGCCCUGCACUUCUUCAUGCCGGCAGCGACUUUCUGCACCAAGUCCUUUGAGCCAAAGGUCGCUGGGAACUGCUCACGGCACCAAAGAGAAAAAAGUUAGGGGUCUGGAAAACAAGGGCCUGGGACUGGCUCUCAGUCGCAGGUCCAAGCCCAAGGCCGAGAGGCUCCAGCCCAAAGGUGCCGCGUUCCUGUCCUUUCUUCAGUGUCUGUGGAUCAGACCAGGCCCAGGAAGCUCCGUUAUGAGCAGGGAGGCAUCUUUUCGCUCACGGAGGGACCUUGUCUUCCCUGCCUGCCCUGGGGACAGCCAGGGGCUCUGGAGUGGCCAGAGCAGCCCCUGGCUGAUCGUAGGAGGCACAGAAUGGGCAGAUUCGCUCACGUGUGCCCAGCUCACUCAGCAGAAGGGCAGCCACGCCCUCUGUCAGCCCAGCGGUCUGCAGGUGCUCCUGAACUUGCGCCCGUUACUUCCCUGUCUCCAGGCUAGUGCCAAAGUCUAGAGUGGGGACCAGUGGCCUAGAGGUUCUGGGGCGUGCACAAAGGGUCUUCCCUGCUCUGUGUCCCCAGUUCUCUUCUAUAAAAGGAAAACAUACCCCACCCCUUCUCAGCCCCUUGGGGGUACCACAAGACAGGGAAGAUGCCACCUUUGGGGGGCUGGUUGGCAGCAGGUGUCAAGUUAAUAGCACAAGACCAACUCACCAGCUGAUGAGCCGUGCUGACCCCCCCCAAAGUGAACCCUGGUGAAUUGUGCUGAUUUUCUUUAAAAAUGGGAAGACUGAUAUUUUUGAAGCUGCUAUCUUUUUCUGUUGGUCUAGUAAUUCCUGUGUAAUAACUGUUGGAAUUUUAGUUUGGAGGUGGCUUUUUUUGUUAAAGGUAGGAAAUUUCUGAGGAUGGAGCCAUUUCAAAAUCUUUCGAGUUUGUUGCCAAUAUUUGCAACUUGGGCGGCUGCCCAUAAAAAGGCUUGG